UUGAUGAGUGCAUAUAAAUAGGUUAUACUUACAAUGUAUUAGAUUAUUCCUAAAAUUAUUUUUUAAUAAUAUUUUUAAAUUAAAUAAUAAUUAUUUAAAUAAAUAUUUAUUUUUUUUAACCUCCUCCAAUUGAUUAAUCUCUCUCUCUCACACACAUUAGAAACCUCCUCUAAUUAUUCAUUGAUCAUCAUCACCAUCCACCGAAAGCUUCUCUUCUCAAUCUCUUUGUCUCCAUCUUGCGACCGAAGAAUGAUGGAGGUGGUUUUGAACGAUCGACUGUGGAAGAAGAUAAAGGUUGAAGGUUGGCAAUUAGUCUAGAUAGCUUACUGAUAUGUUUGGCAUGGAUGCUGAUGAUGUGCCAGAAGAAGAAGAGCAUUGCGGUGAGGGUGAUGACAAACAGCGUGGAAUGGUGAAUUUAAAUCUUUUCUUCUUCUCAAUGCGUUGAGUGAUCUUUUAAUGGUUUCAAAAGACAUGCUUAUGGGCCGAUCAAUGAGAAAAGAGAUUGAUAUAUAGUUAAACUUAUCUUCAUACCAUUUGCAUUGAGAUUACACAACACUCAUUAUUGCUAUGCUUGUUUGGUAAUACAAUCCUCAAUAAUAGACCUAGUUUUGGUCCGACCCUUGGUAGCUUUGGGAGUUUGGACAAGUCAAGUUCUUGAGCUUGGCCAUUAAACUUAGCUCUAGCCCAGAACGAUGAGGUUAUUGUGUCUCUAGCUGAUAGUUCCUGGGAGGUUCUUGACAUAUCUAGUUCAGAUGUUUCUAAUUUUGGGUUGGUAAAAGUGGUUCAAAU